rnacentral:rRNA from 1 species
AACGAACGCUGGCGGCAUGCCUAACACAUGCAAGUCGAACGAGACCCUUCGGGUCUAGUGGCGCACGGUGCGUAACGCGUGGGAAUCUGCCCUUAGGUACGGAAUAACUCACGGGAAACUUGAGCUAAUACCGUAUAAUGACUCCGGUCCAAAGAUUUAUCGCCUAAGGAUGAGCCCCGCGUCGGAUUAGCUAGUUGGUGAGGUAAAAGCUCACCAAGGCGACGAUCCGUAGCUGGCUUGAGAGGAUGAUCAGCCACACUGGGACUGAGACAC